rnacentral:rRNA from 1 species
CCUACGGGAGGCAGCAGUGGGGAAUUUUGGACAAUGGGCGCAAGCCUGAUCCAGCCAUGCCGCGUGCAGGAUGAAGGCCUUCGGGUUGUAAACUGCUUUUGUACGGAACGAAAAGACUCUGGUUAAUACCUGGGGUCCAUGACGGUACCGUAAGAAUAAGCACCGGCUAACUACGUGCCAGCAGCCGCGGUAAUACGUAGGGUGCGAGCGUUAAUCGGAAUUACUGGGCGUAAAGCGUGCGCAGGCGGUUAUAUAAGACAGAUGUGAAAUCCCCGGGCUCAACCUGGGAACUGCAUUUGUGACUGUAUAGCUAGAGUACGGCAGAGGGGGAUGGAAUUCCGCGUGUAGCAGUGAAAUGCGUAGAUAUGCGGAGGAACACCGAUGGCGAAGGCAAUCCCCUGGGCCUGUACUGACGCUCAUGCACGAAAGCGUGGGGAGCAAACAGGAUUAGAUACCCUGGUAGUCCACGCCCUAAACGAUGUCGACUGGUUGUUGGGUCUUCACUGACUCAGUAACGAAGCUAACGCGUGAAGUUGACCGCCUGGGGAAGUAGGCCGCAAGGUUGAAACUUCAAAUUGAAUUGACGGGCUUGAGAGNGCGAGACGACACGAGGGAGGAGG